GAUGAACGCUGGCGGCGUGCCUAAUACAUGCAAGUCGAGCGAAUGGAUUAAGAGCUUGCUCUUAUGAAGUUAGCGGCGGACGGGUGAGUAACACGUGGGUAACCUGCCCAUAAGACUGGGAUAACUCCGGGAAACCGGGGCUAAUACCGGAUAACAUUUUGAACCGCAUGGUUCGAAAUUGAAAGGCGGCUUCGGCUGUCACUUAUGGAUGGACCCGGGUCGCAUUAGCUAGUUGGUGAGGUAACGGCUCACCAAGGCAACGAUGCGUAGCCGACCUGAGAGGGUGAACGGCCACACUGGGACUGAGACACGGCCCAGACUCCUACGGGAGGCAGGAGUAGGGAAUCUUCCGCAAUGGACGAAAGUCUGACGGAGCAACGCCGCGUGAGUGAUGAAGGCUUUCGGGUCGUAAAACUCUGUUGUUAGGGAAGAACAAGUGCUAGUUGAAUAAGCUGGCACCUUGACGGUACCUAACCAGAAAGCCACGGCUAACUACGUGCCAGCAGCCGCCGUAA
rnacentral:rRNA from 1 species